AUUGAACGCUGGCGGAAUGCUUUACACAUGCAAGUCGAACGGCAGCACGGGGGCAACCCUGGUGGCGAGUGGCGAACGGGUAAGUAAUACAUCGGAACGUGCCCGGUCGUGGGGGAUAACGUAGCGAAAGUUACGCUAAUACCGCAUACGAUCUGAGGAUGAAAGCGGGGGACCUUCGGGCCUCGCGCGAUCGGAGCGGCCGAUGUCAGAUUAGGUAGUUGGUGGGGUAAAGGCCUACCAAGCCGACGAUCUGUAGCUGGUCUGAGAGGACGACCAGCCACACUGGGACUGAGACACGGCCCAGACUCCUACGGGAGGCAGCAGUGGGGAAUUUUGGACAAUGGGCGCAAGCCUGAUCCAGCCAUUCCGCGUGCAGGACGAAGGCCUUCGGGUUGUAAACUGCUUUUGUAUGGAACGAAAAGGCUCUGGCUAAUACCUGGGGCUCAUGACGGUACCGUAAGAAUAAGCACCGGCUAACUACGUG
rnacentral:rRNA from 1 species